GUUAAAUGGUUGUUCGACCCCAAAUGGGGUCCCAACCCACAGGUUGAGAACCACUGUUCUAUUGUGACUGCUACUUCUAUUAGAGGCCAGGUCAUCUUCAAUAGUAAUGAGUACUUUGUCAGUGAUGGCUCCAUGUUAAUGGAAGUUACAAAGCAUGAAUUGCAAUAUGCUCUAAUAAAUUUGCAAUUUUCCCUAAUGUGCACUUUUUAGAAACACAAGUACUUUUAAUAUAUCUGCAAUUACUAGUAAUCUAUAACUGACUUUUGUUAAUAUCAAAAAGUUAGGUAGGAUUAGAAAUGGUUAGGAAUUGGAUGGGAGACCUGUUAGGAAAUCCCAGAGCCACAGAUUAGAUUGGGAUGUCAAAAAACAUUAACAUCCUGGAUAAAGAAAAUGCAAUAUAUCUAUAUUGUUUCAAUAAACAUCAUGGGUAAAUUGGUAGGAAUUGACAUGGCGGAGUUUGCCAAUCAUGUGGUAGGUGUAACUAAUCCAAGACACCCAAUUAACCAGGAGGCAAAUUGAUAAGCUUGUUCAUCAUUCUCUUUCUUACCAUACUUAAAUGUUUUUUUAUUUUAAGGAUAGGUGGCCCAUCCCCAAAUAUCUAGGUUGCCCUGUCUGGGACAUAUGAAGAGAAAAUAAAGAACAAAAGAUGGUGCUGUGCUGCAUGCCAGGAUUCCUUUUCAGGGUCAGACUCCUAUUCUCAGAAUCAUUCAUGUGCACCAAAAGAAUACUUCCACUUUCAACCUAGAUAGAAAUAGCAGUUCUUCAAAUCUACAGCACGACUGACCCAGAUUUUAAACUCAAGGCCUAAAUUAUGACGCAGGAGUCAUCUGAGCACUACAGCCCCAGCACUCAAGAUUUGACUAAAGCCAAUUCCACAGCAAAGGGGUGUCGAACUGCUGGCCCGUGGGCUGGUUGCAUCAUACGGAGGCUGCACCCCCAGCUCC